AUGACUUUGAUCCCCGUCUUCAUCUGGACACUGAUCCUCUGGACUCAAGAAUGCAGAGGUCAAGUCACAGUAACUCAGACUCCUGCAGUGAAAUCUGUUCUUCCAGGAGAAACAGUCACCAUCAACUGUAGAACCAGUCAGGCAGUGUAUCAUCACAGCUCAUAUGGUCACUACUUACACUGGUAUCAGCAGAAACCUGGAGAAGCUCCUAAACUCCUGAUUAAGCUCGCAAAUCAGAGACAGUCAGGUUUUCCAGCUCGUUUCAGUGGCAGUGGAUCUGGAUCUGAUUUCACUCUGACCAUCAGUGGAGUCCAGACUGAAGAUGCAGGAGAUUACUACUGUCAGAGUGUACAUGCCAUCACUGGCUACUGGUUCACACAGUGUUAUAGAGUCGUACAAAAACCUCCCUCAGUCAGAUUGUAG